rnacentral:rRNA from 1 species
GAUGAACGCUGGCGGCGUGCCUAAUACAUGCAAGUCGAGCGAACAGAUGAGGAGCUUGCUCCUCUGACGUUAGCGGCGGACGGGUGAGUAACACGUGGAUAACCUACCUAUAAGACUGGGAUAACUUCGGGAAACCGGAGCUAAUACCGGAUAAUAUAUUGAACCGCAUGGUUCAAUAGUGAAAGACGGUUUUGCUGUCACUUAUAGAUGGAUCCGCGCCGCAUUAGCUAGUUGGUAAGGUAACGGCUUACCAAGGCAACGAUGCGUAGCCGACCUGAGAGCGGGUGCAGACAGCUUGGAACUGAGACACGGUCCAUACUCCUGCGGGAGGAAACAGUGGGGAAUCUUCCGCAAUGGGCGAAAGCGUAACGGAGCAACGCCGCGUGAGUGAUGAAGGUCUUCGGAUCGUAAAACUCUGUUAUUAGGGAAGAACAAAUGUGUAAGUAACUAAGCAGGGCUUGACGGUACCUAAUCAGAAAGCCACGGCUAACUACGUG